GACGAACGCUGGCGGCGUGCCUAAUACAUGCAAGUAGAACGCUGAAGGAGGAGCUUGCUUCUCUGGAUGAGUUGCGAACGGGUGAGUAACGCGUAGGUAACCUGCCUGGUAGCGGGGGAUAACUAUUGGAAACGAUAGCUAAUACCGCAUAAUAUUGACUAUUGCAUGAUAGUCAGUUGAAAGGUGCAACUGCACCACUACCAGAUGGACCUGCGUUGUAUUAGCUAGUUGGUGGGGUAACGGCUCACCAAGGCGACGAUACAUAGCCGACCUGAGAGGGGGAUCGGCCACACUGGGACUGAGACACGGCCCAGACUCCUACGGGGGGCAGCAGUAGGGGAUCUUCGGCAAUGGACGGAAGUCUGACCGAGCAACGCCGCGUGAGGGAAGAAGGGUUUCGGGUCGUGAAGCUCUGUUGUAAGAGAAGAACGAGUGUGAGAGUGGAAAGCUCACACUGUGACGGUAUCUUACCAGAAAGGGACGGCUAACUACGUG
rnacentral:rRNA from 1 species